CCGGCACGGGUGAGUAACACGUAUCCAACCUGCCGUCUACUCUUGGACAGCCUUCUGAAAGGAAGAUUAAUACAAGAUGGCAUCAUGAGUUCACAUGUUCACAUGAUUAAAGGUAUUCCGGUAGACGAUGGGGAUGCGUUCAUUAGAUAGUAGGCGGGGUAACGGCCCACCUAGUCUUCGAUGGAUAGGGGUUCUGAGAGGAAGGUCCCCCACAUUGGAACUGAGACACGGUCCAA
rnacentral:rRNA from 1 species